AAAGGAAUAGACGGGGGCCCGCACAAGCGGUGGAGCAUGUGGUUUAAUUCGAUGCAACGCGAAGAACCUUACCGGGGCUUGACAUCCUACGAAUCACUUGGAAACAAGGGAGUGCCUUUGGGAAACCAGAGGAGCGUAGAGACAGGUGGUGCAUGGUUGUCGUCAGCUCGUGUCGUGAGAUGUUGGGUUAAGUCCCGCAACGAGCGCAACCCUUGCUGUUAGUUGCUAACGGGUAGAGCCGAGCACUCUAGCAGGACUGCCGGUGACAAACCGGAGGAAGGUGGGGAUGACGUCAAAUCAUCAUGCCCUUUAUGUCCCGGGCUACACACGUGCUACAAUGGCCGGUACAGCGAGAAGCUAAGCCGCGAGGUGGAGCAAAUCUUACAAAGCCGGUCUCAGUUCAGAUUGCAGGCUGCAACUCGCCUGCAUGAAGUCGGAAUCGCUAGUAAUCGUGAAUCAGCAUGUCACGGUGAAUGCGUUCCCGGGCCUUGUACACACCGCCCGU
rnacentral:rRNA from 1 species